rnacentral:lncRNA from 1 species
CAGAGGAUACGCCGAUUACACCCAAAAAAAAUCCUAUAUUUAGGUAGGGAGGUAAUAUUAAUUUAAUGUAAUAGAAGCAACAAAUUCUCAAACAAGCAACAAAACACUUAAAAAAUGAAAACAUAUAGAAGGAAAUUAUAUAUAUACAAUGAUACCUAAAAUCAGUGGAAUCGAAGGAGAAUUUGUAUGAAUUAUACCUAAAAUCAGUGGAAUCGAUCAUCUUCCAUUCUCUGAUGUGCUUUGGGCACAGGCAAUGCUUUAUCUCUGUAUCCCUUCUUCGAUUCCAGUAUUCUCAUGUUUGUUCCAAUAUGCAUUUCCUCGCAUCGCUCACUCUUUCUGUUGGGCGAUUCCUCUUUCGCCAUUUUUGCUCCAAAAAUAUUCAUUCACCCCUUGUCUCUGUCUUUUCUGCUGCGUUUAGAACGGUGUGUCAUGUCAACAUUUCCUACCAAAUUUCUAAAAACA